UUUGAAAAAAUGGCAUAUGCCUGGUUUUAGGAAGCGGCUAUAGGGUUAAGCCUUGGACUUACCUGUUGGUAAAGCCACAAACAAGUUCCAGCUUAGAGGACACAGCCCUCUUAGCAUAAUUAAGCUUGACUUUAUGAAGCUCCCUAGAUCCUCCCUGGAUAGCUAAUGGGCUGUGGGAGAUGCAGCAAAUGCUACCAAAACAAGUGAAACUCACAAGAACAUUGUAACUAUGGU